GAUGCUGUAGACUAAUUGGUGAGAUCGGCUCUUCGGAAUGUAGGAGCUGCGGGUUCGAACCCCUUCGGCAUCC